rnacentral:rRNA from 1 species
UACGGGGGGGGGCAAGCGUUGUUCGGAAUUACUGGGCGUAAAGGGCUCGUAGGCGGCCAACUAAGUCAGACGUGAAAUCCCCCGGCUUAACCGGGGAACUGCGUCUGAUACUGGAUGGCUAGAGGUUGGGAGAGGGAUGCGGAAUUCCAGGUGUAGCGGUGAAAUGCGUAGAUAUCUGGAGGAACACCGGUGGCGAAGGCGGCAUCCUGGACCAAUUCUGACGCUGAGGAGCGAAAGCCCAGGGGGAGCAAAACGGG